rnacentral:misc_RNA from 1 species
CAACAUUGUUGAUAAGUUCCAUAAUAAGCACAGUUUUUCCUACACCAGCACCACCAAACAGCCCAAUCUUCCCUCCCCUUUGGUAUGGUGCAAGAAGAUCAACAACCUUGAUCCCAGUUACAAGGAUCUGUUGCUCAGUGGCUUGGUCAACAAAAGCUGGAGCUUCUCUGUGAAUGGGCAAGAAGUGGCUGGUCUUGAUAUCACCCUUCUCAUCGAUAGGCUCUCCAAUAACAUUCAUGAUACGACCAAGGGUGGCCCUACCCACAGGCACUGUGAUAGGAGACCCAGUAUUGAGGACACGCUGCCCUCUCACCAAACCUUCAGUUCCGUCCAUAGCAAUGGUCCUAACCAUAUUCUCACCCAAGUGCUGAGCUACCUCCAGCACUAGCCGGAUCGAAUGGUCCCUCACCUCCAGAGCCGUCAGAAUCGGAGGCAGUCCCUCAUCGAAUCUCACAUCCACAACGGCACCAAUCACCUG